CUUUUUGCGAAGUGGGCUCGUGGGUUGGCAGUAUGAGAGUUGUAAUGGCCCGACUGUUGAGUGAGGGGGAGCAGGGGAUCCCAACGGCUUGCGCUGCCUUUGCGCAGCAGCCGGCGGGCGGCCACGUCGCGGCCUGGCUGGGGUAGGAGAGGGCGGUCCCCAGUGCAGUUGGGUGAACUACCGUUGCACACUGGAGUUUCUGGUGUCUUUGCUUGGAACUGACCUAGCUCGUGGCAGGGGGAACUCGGCUAGCGGCCCCACAGCCCCUGCUGACUCAAAACAACUGAGUUGUAAGACGUUCAUCGCCGUGUUAUCCUUGAGUAAAGUUUUUUUACAGAAGCGGGCUUUUGCCAUGUUGUCCAGGCUGGUCUCUACUCCUGGGCUCAAGCAGUCCUCCUGCCUCAGUCUCCCAAAGUGCUGGAAUUACAGGGAAUGAACUCUGGAAGCCCAGCCAGGGACAAUGCACCUUCACAGAGAUUCUGCACUAAUCUGAGUGAAGGUCUAAGGUUUGGAAUCUCCCCCUCAUGGAGAGAAGCUUUGUAUGGCUGUCAUGCUUAGACAGUGAUUCCUGCAACUUGACCUUCAGGCUGGGAGAGGUGGAGAGCCAUGCCUGUUCUCCUUCCUUGCUAUGGAAUUUGCUGACACAAUAUCUUCCGCCUGGUGCUGGGCAUAUCCUAAGAACUUACAACUUUCCUGUAUUAUCCUGUGUGAGCAGCUGUCACCUUAUUGGGGGAAAAAUGCCUGAAAAUUAGGGGGCACUUCAAGUAGAUAGCUUCUAUUUCCUAUAUUUGUCUUAUAUACAAGUAUUUGCUUUUAUCAAAAUAAUUCCAAUAAAGCAUUUUAAAGUAAA